rnacentral:rRNA from 1 species
GACGGAGGGUGCGAGCGUUAUUCGGAAUCAUUGGGCGUAAAGAGCGUGUAGGCGGCCGAUUAAGUCAGGUGUGAAAGCCCGGGGCUCAACCUCGGAAGUGCACUUGAAACUGGUCGGCUUGAGUUCGGGAGAGGGUAGCGGAAUUCCUGGUGUAGAGGUGAAAUUCGUAGAUAUCAGGAGGAACAUCGGUGGCGAAGGCGGCUACCUGGACCGAAACUGACGCUGAGACGCGAAAGCGUGGGGAGCAAACAGG